GCAUUGGUGGUGUAGUGACUAGCACAUAUGCCUUCGAGGCAGAUGACCUGGCUUCCAUUCCCAGCCAAUGCG
rnacentral:tRNA from 1 species